CCCUGGGGAUAUGAGAGAGGCGCACGCCCGGCUCCUCGAUUCUCUCGACAUCAGUUAGCCGCAAGCAGGCAUCGCGCGGAGUCACGUGUAUUUUAUUCUCUUCUUCAACGUAUUUUUUUGAAUCCACGAAUUUUGUUAUUAUCGUUGGUUGGUUGGUUGGUUGGUUGAUUGGUUGAUUGUUAAAUUUAAAAUUAUAUUCGGAUAGAAGGAAAACUUAGAAGUGAUUCUAUCGUAUACGUUCGUAUUUUCCUCGUAUCUUUUUUCCCUUCCCCAUCAAUCGUAUUUAUAUGCUUGCACGUUUAAAAAGAAAUUACCGUAAAUACACGCGCCAAAGAUGAACGUGAUCAUUCGUAAAUUGAUCGAUCUAACGUAAAAUAUUGUUAAUAUUUAAGAAUUUGUUAUUAGAGAUUAACGUUGUUUCUUUGUUUUAUGUUUUAUAUUAUAUUUGAUGAAAUUAUAUUUAAAAGCUUCGUGGAAAAAAAAAGGCGGGAUUCUUCGUUCGGAGCGUUCCCGGUGAUUGGUUGCGAUCGACCACGUGCUCAUACCGUGUCGUCAUAAGUGGUGUAUUGUGAAAAAGACUCUCGAACGGGGAGGGAAAUAGAAAGACUUGAAAAAAUAAAGAACUACGAUCCAACUCUUUAAGGACGACGUUUCGCGAGGAGGAACUCUGGAUCUUUCAAGGACUGGGGGGGCACUCAGGUACCAGAUCUACCGAAUCGUGGUGUAAGGCAUCCUUUAUUAUACGACUGGCUACGGCGCACUCCGACCUAGCCCUUCCUCCUGAUGGGAAAAGGUAGCGUGCCUUGGCGAAAGGGGGAAUCGAAAUAAAAUUGCGAUGGACGUGUAUGAGGUAG
rnacentral:lncRNA from 1 species